CUAUAAACAAAUAUUACGUUAAUUAAUUUGUUAAUUAAAAUUUUAUUCACCUGCAGCUCGUUAUAAUUCUAACAUGUUCGUUUUAUUUUCAGUAUUCUUUAUUGUUUUUCAUUGCACAAUUAUAAAUUCUGUACCACCAUCGGCCUGCUACGCAAAGUUUAGAUGGGAAGAUUGUGGUAAGCCGCCCGUACCCGUCAUGUACUACUGGAGACCAGGUUCCAGGUGUGAGGUAGGACUUUGGCGUGGCUGUCUCCCAAAUCUCAACAUGUUCCAGGACGAAUACGAAUGUGUAGCUACCUGUAUUUAUUCAUCAAGAGCUGGUCCCUCUGACUUCCAUUCAAUUGAUGCGGUAGAGCAAAUUGAGACAACUGAAUUGGAAAUACUAACGACAACAAGUAACGGAACAGCUGAGGAAAAUACCACAAUCGGGAAUACAUUGCAACAUACAGAUGAAACUGCCCAAACAGUAGCAGUGGAAGGUGGAAAUGAAACUUCUACGAAUAUAGAUGCCGCUACAACAGUGGCGGCUUAAUACAAAUUGUAACAUUAUAAAAAUCAUAUAAUUUAAUUUUUAAGUUUAUUGAAUCUUGCUUUUUCUAAUAAACAAAACAUCUACU